UAAGUUAGAUCCUAGCUUAGAAUGAACGCUUAAGACGUACUUUAACACAUGCUAAUUAAACUUAAAAUAACUUAUAUUAUUUAAGUUAGUGUAGAGGUGAGUAAUAAAUAAAAUUAAAAUUAUAAGUUUAGAAUAAUUAUAUAUAAUAUAUAUUUAAUAUAUUAUAUAUAUUAAUUCUUUAUAGGUACUUUAUAUGUAUAAUUAAAAAUUUUACUUAUAAAUUAAUUUUAUUUUUGAUUAGCUAUUUAAUAUUUAAAAUAAAUAUUAAGGCGAAUAUCAAUAACUGGCCUGAGAGGGUAUACAGUCACAUCAGAAUUGAAAUAAAAUCUGAAUUUUUAAAUAAAGAGCAGCAGUGGGGAAUAUUCUACAAUUAGUGAAAACUAGAUAGAGUGACGUCGUGUGAAAAGAAGACAUAAAAUGUAAAUUUCUGUAAAUAAUUCUAAAAUAAGUGAUUGAAUUAUAAGAAAAUAUCGGCUAACUCUGUGCCAGCAGCCGCGGUAAUACAGAGGAUAUAAGCGUUAUUCACAAUUAUUGGGCAUAAAGCAUCUUUAGAUGGUUUAUUAUAUUAAAUUAUAAAUUUAAAAAUAAUAUUUUUAAACAUUAUAUUUAAUAUUAAUAAACUUUGAGAAUAAAAUAAGUUUAAGGAAUUUUUUGAGUAAUGGUGAAAUAUAAUUUUAUAUACAUUAAAGAAGGCCAUAAAUGAAAGUAUUAAACUAAAUUAUAUCUGACAUUGAUAGAUGAAAGCUAGAGUAGCAAAUGGGAUUAGAUACCCCAGUAGUUUUAGCUGUAAAUUAUGAAUAUUAAAAUUUAGAAAAUAAUUUUUAAAUUUAAAGUUAAUACAUUAAAUAUUCCGCCUGAAUAGUACAUUCGCAAGAAUUAAAUUCAAAGGAACUGACGGGAACUUAUACAAGUGAUGAGCUAUGUUAUUUAAUUUGAUGCAGCCCAAAAAAUCUUACCAAUAUUUGACAUAAUUAAAUAAUUUUUAUUAUAUAAAAAUUUAAUUAGUUUUAUAGGUGGUGCAUGGUUGUCGUCAGCUAGUGCUGUGAAGUAUAUUAAAUAUUUUAAAACUAGCAAAACCCUUAUAUUUAUAUAUAUAUAAUAAAAUAAGGAUGAUGUCAAAUCUUCAUGCCCCUUAUAUAUUGGGCUAUUAGCGUGGCGCAAUGAUAAAAACAAAUGUAAAAUAUAUUUAUUAAAUUUUAUAAAAAAUUUAUAUAUAUAUUUAAUUAAAUUUUAUCUCAGUACGAUAUAUAAAUUGAAAUUUAUUUAUAUUUAGUAGUAACCACUAGUAAUCGUUAGUCAUAUAUAUAACGGUGAAUAAGUAAUUAAGUUUUGUACACACCGCCCGUCGCAUCCUGAAAAUGAAUUGAAAAUAAGUUAUUUUAUAAAUAAUCAAUUGUUAAUUAGUGAUUAGGAUGAAGUCGUAACAAGGUAGCCGUACUGGAAAGUGCGGCUA
rnacentral:rRNA from 1 species